rnacentral:rRNA from 1 species
UACGGGGGGGGCAAGCGUUGUUCGGAAUUACUGGGCGUAAAGGGCGCGUAGGCGGCCUCGCAAGUCCCGUGUGAAAUCCCUCGGCUCAACUGAGGAAUGGCACGGGAAACUGCGGGGCUUGAGUUCGGGAGAGGGAAGCGGAAUUCCGGGUGUAGCGGUGAAAUGCGUAGAUAUCCGGAGGAACACCGGUGGCGAAGGCGGCUUCCUGGACCGAUACUGACGCUGAGGCGCGAAAGCUAGGGGAGCAAACGGG